rnacentral:rRNA from 1 species
UGACUGCUAAUACCGCAUAAGACCACAGCACCGCAUGGUGCAGGGGUAAAAACGUACCGGUGGUACAGGAUGGACCCGCGUCUGAUUAGCUGGUUGGUGAGGUAACGGCUCACCAAGGCGACGAUCAGUAGCCGGCUUGAGAGAGUGAACGGCCACAUUGGGACUGAGACACGGCCCAAACUCCUACGGGAGGCAGCAUG